rnacentral:rRNA from 1 species
AUUGAACGCUGGCGGCAUGCCUUACACAUGCAAGUCGAACGGUAACGGGCCUUCGGGUGCCGACGAGUGGCGAACGGGUGAGUAAUGCAUCGGAACGUACCUUUCAGUGGGGGAUAACGUAGCGAAAGUUACGCUAAUACCGCAUAUUCUGUGAGCAGGAAAGCAGGGGAUCGCAAGACCUUGCGCUGAUUGAGCGGCCGAUGUCAGAUUAGCUAGUUGGUGAGGUAAAGGCUCACCAAGGCGACGAUCUGUAGCGGGUCUGAGAGGAUGAUCCGCCACACUGGAACUGAGACACGGUCCAGACUCCUACGGGAGGCAGCAGUGGGGAAUUUUGGACAAUGGGGGCAACCCUGAUCCAGCCAUGCCGCGUGAGUGAAGAAGGCCUUCGGGUUGUAAAGCUCUUUCGGUCCGGGAAGAAAUACGUAUGGGCGUAAUACCCUGUGCGGAUGACGGUACCGGCAUAAGAAGACACCGGCUAACUACGUGCCAGCAGCCG